rnacentral:lncRNA from 1 species
GGAGGGCGCGGAGGUGAGGGGUGGGGGGUAGGGGAUCCACCCGCAGAGGUGUGACAUCGCCCUCUGCUGGGUCCGCAGGGAGGGAAAGAUCGUGGUCGUUCAGCGCCAAGUGGGGAGGGGCCCUGGGAGCCAGACAAUCAAGGGGACUCUCGGACUGUGCGCUCCGGGCUGAGGAUCUCGAGGGACGUCGUGAGCCCAGAGGUCCAGGGGGAGUAAGGCACUCUCUCACUGUUCCCGGUGCAGCCACCACGCAGACCUGGCUCCUCCUGUAUCCAGGAUACCUCGGAAGGGGACCCCAGGGAACCCAGAAGUGCUGCACUCGAAUGACACAUUCAGGCCCUUCCUGGCCACUUCCGAGUGGUGCCUCCUGCCCCACAGUUGCACACGUGCAGGAAUGA